rnacentral:rRNA from 1 species
UCUCGCUAUUAGAUGAGUCUGCGUCGGAUUAGCUAGUUGGUGGGGUAAAGGCUCACCAAGGCGACGAUCCGUAGCUGGUCUGAGAGGAUGAUCAGCCACACUGGGACUGAGACACGGCCCAGACUCCUACGGGAGGCAGCAGUGGGGAAUAUUGCACAAUGGGCGAAAGCCUGAUGCAGCCAUGCCGCGUGUGUGAAGAAGGCCUUAGGGUUGUAAAGCACUUUCAGCGAGGAGGAAAGGCUAGUUUUUAAUACAAACUAGCUGUGACGUUACUCGC